UACGGAGGUGGCAAGCGUUGCUCGGAAUCACUGGGCGUAAAGGGCGCGUAGGCGGGGAGGUAAGUCGGGUGUGAAAUCCCUCGGCCCAACCGAGGAACUGCGCCCGAGACUGCUUCUCUUGAGUCCCGGAGAGGAAGGUGGAAUUCCCGGUGUAGCGGUGGAAAUGUGUAGAGAUCGGGAGGAACACCGGUGGCGAAGGCGGUUCUCUGGGCAUUACCUGACGCUGAGGAGCGAAAGUGUGGGGAGCGAACAGG
rnacentral:rRNA from 1 species